rnacentral:rRNA from 1 species
CCUACGGGUGGCAGCAGUGGGGAAUAUUGGACAAUGGGGGGAACCCUGAUCCAGCGACGCCGCGUGAGUGAAGAAGUAUUUCGGUAUGGAAAGCUCUUUCAGCAGGGAAGAAAGAAAUGACGGUACCUGACUAAGAAGCUCCGGCUAACUACGGGCCAGCAGCCCCGGGAAUACGUAGGGGGCAAGCGUUAUCCGGAUUUACUGGGUGUAAAGGUAGCGUAGACGGUUACGCAAGCCUGGAGUGAAAGGCGGGGGCCCAACCCCCGGACUGCUUUGGAAACUGUAUAACUGGAGUGCCGGAGAGGUAAGUGGAAUUCGUGGUGUAGCGGUGAAAUGCGUAGAUAUUAGGCGGAACACCAGUGGCGAAGGCGGCAUACUGGAGUGUAACUGACGUUGAGGCUCGAAAGCGUGGGUAGCAAACAGGAUUAGAUACCCGAGUAGUC